GAUGGACGCUAGCUACAGGCUUAACACAUGCAAGUCGAGGGGCAGCAUGGUCUUAGCUUGCUAAGGCCGAUGGCGACCGGCGCACGGGUGAGUAACACGUAUCCAACCUGCCGUCUACUCUUGGACAGCCUUCUGAAAGGAAGAUUAAUACAAGAUGGCAUCAUGAGUCCGCAUGUUCACAUGAUUAAAGGUAUUCCGGUAGACGAUGGGGAUGCGUUCCAUUAGAUAGUAGGCGGGGUAACGGCCCACCUAGUCUUCGAUGGAUAGGGGUUCUGAGAGGAAGGUCCCCCACAUUGGAACUGAGACACGGUCCAAACUCCUACGGGAGGCAGCAGUGAGGAAUAUUGGUCAAUGGGCGAGAGCCUGAACCAGCCAAGUAGCGUGAAGGAUGACUGCCCUAUGGGUUGUAAACUUCUUUUAGAAAGGAAUAAAGUCGGGUAUGGAUACCCGUUUGCAUGUACUUUAUGAAUAAGGAGCGGCUAACUCCGUG
rnacentral:rRNA from 1 species